rnacentral:tRNA from 1 species
AAAACUUAGUUUAAUUAAAAAUUUAAAAUUGUCAAUUUUAAGAUCUUAGGAGUUUUA